rnacentral:lncRNA from 1 species
GAUCCUCAACCUGUACAAUGUUUUCAAAAUCCAUACAUGUUGUAACACAUGUCAAUAUUUCUAACAAAUAAUAUUCCAUUGCGUUGAUCCAUCGUUUUGUUGAUUCAUUCAUCGGUUAAUGGACAUUGGUAGUGGUUCCACUUUUUGACUGUUAUGAAUAUUGAUGCUAUGAAUAUGCAUAUAACCUCCAGUACAAUGUUGAGCAGAAGUGACCAGGGUGGAUAUCCUUUUCUUGUUCGGAUCUUCAGAGAAAGCAUUCACUCUUUCAUUGUUAAAUACGGUGUAAGGUGAGUGUUUUUCAAAGAUGCCCUUUGUCACGCCGAGAACAUUUCCUUCAUUACAAGUUGGUUGAGUUUUUUUUUUUUAUCAUGAAAAGGUGUUGGUUCUUGUCAAACAUUUUUUUCUACAUCUAUCGGAUGAGCAUAUAGUUUUUGUCAUUUAUUCUGUAUGUAUAAUAUGAUACAUUAUAAUGAUUGAUUUUUGAAUUCUGAACAUGUCUAGUAUUCCUAGAAUAAAUGCCCUUUGGUUAUGGUGUAAAAACCAUUUUAUAUGGUGCUGGAUUUGGUUGCUAGGAUUUUGCUAAAGCUUUUGCAUCUAUUUUAAAAGGGAUAUUGCUUUGGCAUUUUAAAAUAAUAUUUUGUCUAGUUUUAAUAUCAGGGUGGUCUUAACUCAUAGAAUGAAUUCUCUCCUAUUUUAUGAAAGAGUUCAUAAAGGGGUGGGUAUUAAUUCUUUUUAUAUAUAGUGUAAAAUUCCUAAAAGUCAUCUGAGCCUGAGAUUUUCUCUGUGACACGUUUUUUUAAAUUACUAGCUGGAUCACAUUAUUUACUAUAUGUCUAUUCAGAUUUUUAAAAUUUCUUUUUGAGUUAGUUUCAGUAGUUUCUAUUUUUCUACAAAUUCAUCAGUUUUCUCUAAGUUACACAAUAUGUUGGUAUAGAGCUGUUCACACUACUCCUUUACUGUCCUUUUUAUUUCUGCAAGGUUGGUAGUCAUGCCCUCUCUUUCAUUACUCAAUUUAUUAAGUUGAACCUUAUUUCCCUU